GCACCUGUAGUUCAAUGGAUAGAACGCUUGGUUGCGGACUAAGAGGUUGGAGGUUCGAUUCCUCCCAGGUGCA
rnacentral:tRNA from 1 species